AGCGAACGCUGGCGGCAUGCCUAACACAUGCAAGUCGAACGAACCCUUCGGGGUUAGUGGCGCACGGGUGCGUAACGCGUGGGAAUCUGCCCUUUGCUUCGGAAUAACAGUUAGAAAUGACUGCUAAUACCGGAUGAUGUCUUCGGACCAAAGAUUUAUCGGCAAGGGAUGAGCCCGCGUAGGAUUAGGUAGUUGGUGGGGUAAAGGCCUACCAAGCCGACGAUCCUUAGCUGGUCUGAGAGGAUGAUCAGCCACACUGGGACUGAGACACGGCCCAGACUCCUACGGGAGGCAGCAGUGGGGAAUAUUGGACAAUGGGCGCAAGCCUGAUCCAGCAAUGCCGCGUGAGUGAUGAAGGCCUUCGGGUCGUAAAGCUCUUUUACCAGGGAUGAUAAUGACAGUACCUGGAGAAUAAGCUCCGGCUAACUCCGUGCCAGCAGCCGCGGUAA
rnacentral:rRNA from 1 species